rnacentral:lncRNA from 1 species
UACCCCAUCGCCUCCUUCAGGAGGCCAUGGAGGUGGUGGUUACUAUCCCUCCCCUCCAUCUCAUAGUGGAAGCCCUCCAAGUACUCCUACACCUACACCUAGUACCCCCAGUACACCAUCCACCCCCUCCACACCUACUAUUGUCACCCCGCCUACACCUCCUACCAUUGACCCUGGCACUCCAAGCACUCCAGGGGGUGGUUACUAUGGUGGAAGUCCUCCAAGUAUUCCUACACCUAGUACCCCUAGUAUUACACCCACUACCCCUUCUACACCUAUCAUUGAAACACCACCAACUACUCCUGUCGUUGAAACACCACCAACUACUCCUACUAUUGAUCCAGGCACUCCAAGUGCUCCAGGAGUCUUUCCAAUUGACCCCAACUCACCACCUUUUACAUGCGAGUAAGUCAAGUGAAAAUUAUUUGCUGUUUCAUUUUAUAUUACAGUAUUUGACUAGACAUACAGUUUAAUAAAGAAAAAGAAUUUUUUAACGCAUACCUAAUGUACCUAAUGAGAACUUGUCCUAACAUGAAAUGUUAUGAAUUGCAGCUACUGGAGGACUCACCCAACACUAAUAUGGGGCAUACUCGGCUGGUGGGGAAGUGU